CCACGGCUUAAAUUCAGUUUAAAAAAGAGAAUUUAUUGAACAUCUAACACAUACAUAAAAGGCAGUAAAGACAAAUGAGAAGAGGGCAGGAUAUUGAAGUAUACAGACUUUAAUGCUGAGUUUUGUAUCUUAGUAAGUUACUCCACCUUACAGAGGCUCAAUUUCCCCUGAUUUAGGAAGGCGAUGCUAAUGGGUAUUGCCUAGGUGUAAGUAUAAAAAUGUUGUAUUUAAGAGAAUCCCACAAGCUUGGUAUAAGGCAGAAAAUAAAUAGAUGCGACAUGAAUAAGUAGUUUAUUACAUUUGUAUGCUACCUGCAGACUAGAUGAAGCAAGAAACACAGCCACUAUGUUUGAUGACCAUUAUAUUCUAAUUUGGAAUAUAAAUAGAAAAGAGAAAAAUAGAAAGCUAUGCAUAAACACACGCAUUAAAAUGAAUGUUAUGUGGACUCUUUCAGGAAAAUGUUCCUAAGGUAUUUUAUUUUUUUAUUGUGGUAAAAUACACAUAACAUAAAAUGUACUCUGUUAACCAUUUUAAGUGUACAGUUCAGUGGUACUAAAUAUAGUCAUAACAUUGUGCAGCCGUCCCUACCAUCCAUCUCCAUAACUCGUUUCAUCUUGUAGAACUGAAACUGUAUACCCAUUAAACAAUACUUCCCCAUUUCUUCCUCCCCCCAGCUUCUGGCAACCAUCAUUGUACUAUCUCUAUGAUUCUGUCCACUUUAAUACAAAUGGAAUUAUACUGUAUUUGUCCUUCACUGACUAACUUAUUUCACUUGGCAUAAUAUCCUCAAGUUUCAUCCAAGCUGCAACAUAUGUCAGAAUAUUUCCCUCAUGUUUAAGGCUGAAUAAUAUUCCAUUGUGUGUAUAUUUAAUAUUGUACUUAUCCAUUCAUCUGUUGUUGGACACUUCAAUUGCUUCUAAGUUUUAGCUAUUGCCAAUAACGCUGCUGCAAACAUGGAUGUGCAAAUAUUUUUUCAAGACUCUGCUUUCAAUUCUUUUGCUAUCCUGAGAUGUGGCGCUGCUGAAUCAUAUGGCAAUACCAUUUUGAUGUUUUGAGGAACUACCAUACUCUUUUCCACAGCAAACAUAGCGUUUGGCAUUCCCUCCAAUACUGCAAAAGGAAUCGCCACAUCCUUGCCUGUGGUUUUUAUUCACAAAUCCGGUGGCUCUCUCUACAUCCCAGCCACCAUGUGUUAUUUCCUGCUAUGUAUAUGACAUCAAAGGUGCAGGAAGUAAUGAACUAAAUUGGAAGGAUAAACAUGUAGAAAAAUAGAGGUAAAUACUGACUACAUAAAACCAUAAGAAUAAGAAUUUUGGAUGAUCAAUCUAUUAUAUACCUAUUUAUCUAACACCUAUCUGUUCUUCCAUCUGUAAUUAAAAUAUAUUACAGUUAGAGAGCAGAGGAAAAAGUAGGAAUACAUGAAUUUAAAUUUUAAUUCUUCUUAGAUUGUCUCACAGCAUCAUUAUAUGAAAGAAAAUUUAUAGGUCAUUAUCUGUUAACUAUAAAUGUAACAUUCUUAAAGAAUUCAAAUACAUUGAAUUACAGCAUGAAUAAUAUGUUACAAUCCAUUCAAGUUUAUUUUAUUCCAGGAACACAAAAAUACAAAUUUCAUUUGCAAUUCAAAAAAAACAGAAAUUGAUACAUAUGAUUGAUGUAUAUACACAUUUAAUGUAUUUUUAAAUAUACAUUUUUUAAAAAUAGAAAUUUUUCUAGGACAAAUACUUAAAAUAUCACUGAAAAUAGUGUUAUUAGCUAAUACCUUCCUAAUCACUCUGGUAUUACAUAAGAAACCAAAAUUAAAAUUUCAGGUAAACUUAGAAACUAAAAAUUUUAAAAAUAUUAUUCUGUUCUCCAUAUGUUCAUAUUUAGUAUUACUUCUUGUUUUCAUUCUUAUUCAGUGUUGCUCUACAAAAAUAUAACAUACAAUACUAACUUUUGAUUUCUGUUCUUAUUACUCCGAAUUGUAUACAUUUUCUCAUGCUCUUAAUUUAGUUAUGCUACUUUUCUGUACUCUUGGAAUUUUCACAUUUGUGUUCACUCUUUUGAGUUCCCAUAGUAUCAAAUGAGCUUUUUUCCCUCUUUCUGACUUGAAGAUUCAUCUUCUCAUAAUUAUUUUGUCCAUUCAGUUUUUUUCAUUCUCGGUUAAGUGCCUCUCCUCUGGCUUCUUUUCAUUUAUAAGGUUUCCUUUCAUCUUAAGCCAGUCUUUCAUUUAUAUUUUGAUUAUGUUUUGUGGAGGACAUGCUUCCCUGAAUUUUAUGGAAGAGGCCAAAAGGGUUUUUCAAGUUUUUACCUGAUACAUUGGAUUAAAUUAUCUAAUGUACACACUCUUAAUUUAAGUCUAGGGGCGACUGUCUACUCUUGAUUUUGUAUAGUAUUAUUUUUCUUAACAUCCAAGCCCAUCUUCAUCUAUUUGUAUAUGAUCAAUAAAAAUACAUCUGUCCAGAACCCUGCUUUGGUGGAGUUACUUCUUUCUAAGUAGUAGAGGUAGCAGUUGAGACAUGAGCUGGGUUCUGUGUCAGUGUAGAGGGCUGGGCGACAUUCCUCCUUCUGGUCUGUAUGACUGAAUGAAUGCAGUUCUUGCUGUCUCGCUCCUCUCCUUAACACAUUGAGCCAUUGCAGCAGAUGAGAAGGAAUAAUCUUGAUCUGCCAUUCAGGUGGAACACAUGUUCUCUCCAGCCACACCCAUAGGUUGUACUCACACUUGGCCAGAAGGUAUCCUGUCAAUGAUAUGGAGAUGUAUCUAUCUAUCUAGAUAGAUAUCUACUUUGGUUUAUGCUCUUCGGUUGCCCGUAAAUUAUCUCCUUAAAGUGAAUAUCAAAAGAGAGCUUGGUGAUGGCAGUGUUAUAAAAUCCUCAAAAUGCAGCACCCACACCCAGAGGAAUUUGUAGAUUCUGGGAUUCUAAUUCAGAUACCAAAUUAUAUAAAAGGGGAACUGGUCAUUGAGGGUUGCUAGGCUCUUUGUUGAGCAUAUUUGCUCUUUUCAUGACUUUGAAAUUAUUUUAAAAAUCUAACCUUUUUCUCAGUGUGCUGCAAGAUGAUUUGAUUUUAAUGCAUAAGCACUAAUUCUCCCCUAAGUUUUGUACAAUAUAUUUGCUCUGACAAGCCAUAGCCAGCAACUCACUUCACAGCAAUUUAUAGCAUUUCCAAGAUAAGUUGAAUUAUUUUUAACUAGACUCUCUUUGCCUUAAUAAAAAUAUGAAGAAGCAAUAUACUUGUUCUAAUUAGGUUCAAAAGUUGGCAGUCUCUCUCCUGGAAAGAAUAGUAAAACUUUUCAGCGGCCUAAUAUGCAUCUAUAAACACACAAACACACACACACACACACACACACACACACACACGCAAGCACUAUUCAUAAUAUUUAAAGCACAUUCUGUUCUAUGACUUCAUUUGUCUAGCACAAAAUAAAACGAUCUCAGCAUAUGUCAAGUACCAAUUUUUUCGUAUGGCCAAUUAUAGGUAUUUUAUUUUUUAAAGAUUAGAGUGUUCUUGAAGCUCUUUAUUUUUGUCAAUGAACUAAACAUUGGCAAAUAUGUAGGGUUUCCCACAUAAGAACAUUAUUAACAUCAAAAUAGAAAGCUGGUGGUAGCAAUAAUGAUUGAGAACACAGAGUCUCUACUCAACGUUCUAGUUCUGCCAUACCAUAACUUUGUGAUCUCAGGAAAUCUCUCUCCAUGUUAUCAUCUCUAUGUAUAGUUCUGUCAUUUUUCAAUAAGUGCUUUUGGCUUAAUUAUGAAGUACUAGUUACUAUAACCAUUAUUUUGAGUUUCAUGUAAAUCAAGAACACAUGGACUCCACUUGCAAAACAUUGAAAAUGUAGUUAGGGAUUGGGGGCAUAAAGCAACAUUUUAAAAUGUGUAAAGACAAUGAGUAAGCAACAAAGUGUCCAAUUUUUUAGGGGAAAGUUGCAUACGUUAGGAAAAGGCAGGAUUAAGUAACAGAGAAUUUGAAUGAUAACUGGCCAAUUGGUGUCAUUUACAAUUGCAAGUCAUACAAAUGAAGUUUCCUUUUUUAAAGAGGAAAGGAGUUAUUUAGAAUGGGUCAACCUAUUGGGGAAGCAAUGUAGUUAGAGACAAUGCCCAAAACCAUGUGAGCCAAUGCUCUGUAGAGCAUACCCCUGCAAUGCUGCCAUUGUGAGGCCAAGUCUCUCCUUGUCUUGGUACUGAGCCCUCCAUUCUGCCUCCAUCAUUGCCACUGUAGCUGCCACAAAAUGAUCCCUCAACCACCGCUGCCCAGGAACAAAGAAAGAUUUCUGUCUUUCCGCGCUCUCAGAUCAAUUUCCAACAUCAGGUGAGCCUUUGAUGGGCACUAUUCAGUUCCCAUAUCCAUGAAAUAGAUGCAGUAAAAACAUAGAAAUUGCCUAUAUGUUUCCCAAUAAGACACACAUGGAAGCCUGUUUUCCCACAACAAGAAGGGGUUUGCACGAUGGGUGUUCAAAGGAACAAUAUUCCCUGUAAACCAUACUUUGCCCAUAUGAAGAAAAGCAAUAAGGAUUAUUUAGUAAAUAGACAUGGAAACUCAUCCAGGGUUGGCUGAUGAGAAGCUGGUUAGCAAGGGGGUCUACCUUCAGUUAGGACAAGGUCUGUGCUUCCCAUGGGUUCUCUCCACAGCAGGAGGGAUGCAAACUUCCCUUUCCUCCCCUGCACCUACCCUCAAAUGGCCCAGAGGUCUUCAGGUGCUAGAAUUUCUCAAUUAAUGCUGCACAAAGUAACAGACAACCUUGACUGUCACAGUCUGUUCUCAUGAAGCUAGUCUCUGCUCACUACAUAAAACAGGAGAGUAAGAACAAGGGUGUUUAAUGCUACCCUAGCUCAAACAUGUUUCUCUCUGUAGGAUGCCAAGAACCUGGGAACCAGUGCAUCUGCUGCUUUCCCUUCUAGGAUUCUAGCCCAGACAAAAGAGGCAAGGGGCAUUUCUUCAGAGGCCUUGAGCUUCACUACACAAUGACCCAGGCUCUACAUGCACCCCCUUUAUAUAUUUCUACCUUGAAAAAAAAUUUUUAUAUAAUAUUAAUAAUAUAUAUUUUUAUAUAAUAAACAUGUUUAUUUCAUAGAUAGAUAUAGAUAUGCAUAGAUAAAGAUCUCUAGUCAGCCUUUUUUAAGGCUGGGCUGAUCGUGGUGCCUCAAAACUAUAAUCCCAGCACUUUAGGAGGCCAAGGUGGCCAGAUCUUUUGAGUCCAGGAGUUGGAGAUCAGACAGGGCAACAUGGUGAAACCCCAUCUUUACAAAAAUUAGCUAGUAUGGUGUCAUGCACCUGCAGUCCCUGCUACUCAGGAGGCUGAGGUGGGAGAAUCGCUUGAGCACAGUAUGUGAAGGCUUCAGUGAGCUCUGAUCACAUGACUGCACUCCAUCUUGUGUGACAAAGUGAGACUCUCUGAAAAAUAAAAUAAAAUAAAAUAAAAAGGCUACCACCAUACUCACAAAUAAGUGUGUCAGGUAUAUUUGCAGCUAUAUUUCCUAUAUUCUAUUUGGUGAAAAAAAAAAUUGCAAAGAACUCUUCUCAUUCUAGAUUUUUGUAUUAAUUAGACAUUUGAAGUUUACAGCAGAGAGCUGUAAUCAUGUUUGGUAUGUGUACUCUAUAGACCAGAUAAUGCAAGCAGAUAUCAAUGCUUUUUAAAAGUAUAUAAGGUUCUUAGAAAUAUUUUAAACUACCUAUAGGUAUAUAUGUAUGUAAUUGAACUAUCAAAUGCAAGUAAGAUCAUUUCCUUAGCGUGUGAAAUCCACUCAAUUUAUUAAAAUAUUUUCUAAUAUCUAUUACAAUAAUAUUUCUUAAUUAGCUAACAUAAGAGGAGUUUUAAGACAUUUAUUUAUAUGUACUUACUAGAUUCAAACUCGAUUCCACUAUUUUCAGAAAUCACACUCUGAGACAAGUCCUUUUUUAAUCUAACUAUGUUUCUGCCUAUACUAAAAGACAGAUAUGUCAAUUUUGCUAAUCAUGCAGUUCCAAACCUCUCCAUCCUGAUUAUUUUUCGGUUUGUUCUAGCAGUCAUUCAGAGACUUACUUACAUUCAAAUUUCUCUCUAGGUUUAACAUUCGUGUAUGUCUUCUUGUGGUUUUGUCUAUUUUUGCUGUAUAUAAUUUAAGACAUUUUAUUGACAUAUAUCAUACAUGCAGAAAAGUACAAUGAUUAAAUAUGGAUAGCUUAAUGAAACACAUGUAUUUGCUUAUAACCAUGUAUGAAAAUAGAACAUUACUAAAAAUAGUGAUACUUCUCCUGCCCCUUUCCAAACACUAACCCUCAUCCUCAAUAGUAACAGAUUUUUUUUAUCAUAAUUUGGUCUACUUUCAAAUUUUUAUUAAAUAAAUCAGAGUAUCUACUCUAAGUCUAAGUUUGUUUCAUUGUUGUUAUUUUACUUAUUUAUCUGCUAAUGGACAUGGUAGAUUAAAGAUGGCUAAAUACACAUUUUUUAAAUUAACAGAUUUUUUGAGCACUUUGUGGCUCAUGCCUCUAAUCCCAUCACUUUGGGAGGCUGAGGUGCGUGGAUCAUGAGGUCAGGAGAUCGAGACCAUCCUGGCCAACGUGGUAAAACCCCUUCUCUACUAAAAUACAAAAAAUUAGCUGAUAGAUAACAUCAAGAUAACAUCUGGGUUCUUAGCUGCACUGAGUCAAGCCUACUUACAUCUUUGUUUGUCUUCCGCUGCACUUUUCCUUCCACAUCACACUCCAGGAAUGCCAAGCUGUGCUGGUCUUCUACCCCAUUUCCACUAUUUUGCUCCCGCGGAUGCAACUUUUUGCUGCCGCCGCCGCGGGUUUUUGCCUCCGCUGCUUUUUGCCCCCGCCGCCGCGGCUUUCUGCCCCCGGCCCCGCGGAUUUUUGCGCCCGCCGCCACGGCUUUUUGGGGCUCUUUGCCCCCGCCGCCGCGGCUUUUUGCGGCUUUUUGCCCUUGCCACGGUGGCUUUUUGCCCCCGCCCCCGCGCCUUUUUCCUGCCAUGGCUUUUUGCCCCCGCCGCCUUUGCAACCUUAAUUUCAUUUGAAAUCUAAUUUCCCACUGCCAUGCAACCUAACAUAUUUGUAUGUUAGACUCCGGGAAUUAGAACAUGAACAUUUUGGGGAGGCCAUUAUUUUGUCUACAGCAGACGUAAUCUAUUUACCUGCAGAUUAAAAUGUUCUUUAUUUUUCUGCCUCCCUCUCUUAAUUUUUUUUAAAUAAUAUGAAUUGUAGUAAAGAGAAAGAAAAGAAAGAAAAAAGAAGGAAAGAAAGAAAGAAAAGGAGGAAAUGAGAGGGAGGGAGGAAGGAAGAAAGGCAGGAAGGGAGAAAAAGAAAGCAAGAACUCAAGAAAGAAAGAGAGAAAGAAAGUGAGAAAGGAAGGAGGAAGGGAGGAAGGAAAGGAGGAAGAGAGAAUGGUAAAAGGGAGGAAGGCAAAGAAACAAAGAAAAACAGAAGGAAAAAAGGAAGGGAGGGAGGAAGGAAGAAAAGUAGGGAGGAAGGGAGAAAAAAAGGAAAGAAAGUGCGAAAGAAAGAAUAAGAGAAAAGAAGGAAGAAAAGAAGGGAGGGAGAAAGGAAGGGAGGGAGGAGGGAAGGAAGAAUAAGGGGAAGGAAGGAGAAAAAAAGAAAGGAAAAGAAAGAAAAAGGAAAAGGAAGGAAGUAGGCAAGGGAAGAGAAGAGAAAGGAAGAUGGAAAGAAGGAAGGAAGACCGCAAAUAUUAGAAAUUCUGGGUUUGUUGGAGAAUAUGCCAUACUGUUUUUUUUUUCACUUGAAAGAGUAUCUGCCAUUGAAGAUUGGAUAUCUUGUUGAGACAGGAAAGCAUCCAGUAGUGUUGCUUCUUUGUCUUUCAGUGAUAAAGGCAUGACAUUAUACAAAAAUUGAUAAACGACAGAAAAUCGGCCAACAAAAAUGAAAGUGUGGAAAAUAAAUGAAAGUGUCAACACCGAAAGUGAAAUUCAGAUUGGAUCUUGAUGGAUUGAUAGAAGAAAUAGUUAAUUGCGAGAAUGCUGACACAACUACCAUCCAAGAGAUUUCAUAUGUGCAGUCAGGGGAACUUACGGAAGACAUAUUUACAACUUAAAUGAAGAAGCUGAUUGCAGGGAAAAGACGAAUGUUUUCCCAGAAGAUGUGAUGCUGAGAAAAAAAAUUACAUUGAAGAAAUUCUCCAAGAUGUUUAAAGACAAUGAACGCACAAACAAUAAAAUGUUGGACAAAUAAUCGAAUUUAUAAAGAAGUAUGGCAAUUCACCAAAGCAUAAAAAAUAUUGAGAAUCACAUGAUGAGAAGUUGUGCAAAUACUGUACAAACUACUCUGAAUACAUUUCAAAGAAAUAUAUAAAACAUGUAUUUUAAUUAUCAAUGUUUUAAAUUAUAGUGUACUAUAUAAAUACUAGUUUUAGGGUUGUUUUUUGGUUUUUACUUUUCUAUGCAUAUAUAACCAACAGUAAGACAUUUUUAAUAUUUUGACAAAUGUGUUUAUUUAUUUAUUCUUUUAUUUAGAGACAAGAUCUCACUCUGUUGUCCAGGCUGGAGUGCAGUGGUAUCAAAAAGGCUCACUGUAGCCUCGACCACCAGGCUGAGGUGAUCCUCCCACCUCAGCUUCCUGGAUAGCUGGGACUAUAUGUACGUAUCACCACUCCUGGCUAAUUUUUUGUAGUUUUUGUAGAGACAGGGUUCCGUCAUGUUGCCCAAACUGGUCUCAAACUCCUGGGCUCAAGUGAUCUGCCCACCUUGGCCUCCCAAAGUGCUGGAAUUACCGGUGUGAGCCACUGCACCUGACUGACAAGUGUUUUUAAUGAUUGCAGGAACAAGUUUAUGUUUUUCCAUUAAUUAUUAAGAUAACUUUGCCCAGUUUCAACUUGCACAGUGGUUACUAAGGCCCCGCACUGAUGUGCAUAAAGAGUACCAUCUGUACAUUUUUUUAACUUAAAACACUCAACCUUCAAAUAAUAUUUAUAAUACCUGCUAUAUAGUUUUAAAAUAUUGCAAUUCUGAAGCCAGCAUUACCAUGAUACUAAAACCCAGCAACCUAUAAUCCUGAAAUGUAAGACCUCAAACUAUAAGAAUCCUAGAAGUAAUGCUAGGAAACACCAUUCAGAAAAUCAGCCUUGGGAAAGAAUUUAUGACUAAGUCCUCAAAAGCAAUUUCAACAAAACAAAAAUUGACACGUGGGACCUAAUUAAACUAAAGAGCUUCUGCACAGUAAAAGAAACUAUCAACAGCAUAAGCAAACACCCCACAGCAUGGGCGAAAAUAUUCACAAACAAUGUGUUCAAUAAAAGUCUCAUAUCUUGAAUCUAUAAGGAACUUAAACAAUUAAACAAGCAAAAAAACAAAUAACUUAAUUUUAAAAGUGAGCAAAACCAUGAACAGAUACUUCUCAAAAGAAGGCAUACAAGUGGCUAAUAAACAUGAAAAAAAUGCUCGUAAUCACUAAUCUCAGAGAAAUGUAAAUCAAAACCAAGAUGAGAUAUCAUCUCACACUAGCCAGAAUGGCUAUUAAUAAAAAUUCCAAAAACGUUUAAUAAUAUCUUUUAUUGAAAAGUUCCUGCCAAGGCUAUAGAAGGGGAAGGUUUAUACACUGUUGAUGGGAAGGUAAAUUAGUUCAGCCAAUGGGGAAAGUAGUUUGGAGAUUUCUCAAAGAGCUUAAAACAGAACGACCAUUUGACUUAAUAAUCCCAUUUCUGGUUAUAUAUCCAUAAGAAAAUAAACUAUUCUACCAAAAAGACACAUGCACUUGUAUGUUCACUGUAGCACUGUUCCCAAUAGCAAAGAUAUGGAAUCAACCUAAGUGCCCAUCAGCAGUGGAUUGGAUAAAGAGAAUAUGGUACAUAUACACUAUGGAAUACUACACAGCCAUAAUAAAGAAAAAAACCAUCUAUUUGCAGCAACAUGGAUGCAACUUGCGGCCAUUAUCUUAAGUGAAUUAAUGCAGAAACAGAAAAUCAAAUACCACAUGUUCUCACGUGUAAAUGGGAGUUAAACACGGGGUACUCAUGGACAUAAAAAUGGCAACAAUAGAAACUGGACACUGCUAGAGGGAGAGGAAGGCAGGGAGGGAGGCUGGGGUUGAAAAACUGUCUGUUAGGUACUAUGCUCAGUACCUGGGAGAUGGUCUCAACCGUACCACCAACCUCAGCAUCACGCAAUAUAUCCAUGUAACAAACCUGUACAUGUGUUCCAUAAAUUUAAAAUAAAUGUUCAAAUAAAAAAACAAAUAUUAUAA
rnacentral:lncRNA from 10 species